rnacentral:rRNA from 1 species
UAAUACAGAGGGUGCGAGCGUUAAUCGGAUUUACUGGGCGUAAAGAGUGCGUAGGCGGCUUCUUAAGUCGGAUGUGAAAUCCCUGAGCUUAACUUAGGAAUUGCAUUCGAUACUGGGAAGCUAGAGUAUGGGAGAGGAUGGUAGAAUUCCAGGUGUAGCGGUGAAAUGCGUAGAGAUCUGGAGGAAUACCGAUGGCGAAGGCAGCCAUCUGGCCUAAUACUGACGCUGAGGUACGAAAGCAUGGGGAGCAAACAGGAUUAGAUACCCUGGUAGUCCAUGCCGUAAACGAUGUCUACUAGCCGUUGGGGCCUUUGAGGCUUUAGUGGCGCAGCUAACGCGAUAAGUAGACCGCCUGGGGAGUACGGUCGCAAGACUAAA